AGCUUAUUGAAUUUUUAUUAAGUAUUUUCGCCCGGUGAUUUUUUAACGGCCGCGGUAUUUUGACCGUGCAAAGGUAGCAUAAUCAUUUGUCUAUUAAUUAUAGACUGGAAUGAAUGGAUUUUCGUAAAAGAUAUUGUCUCUUUUUUAUUUUUAAAAUUUUCUUUUUAAGUGAAGAAGCUUAUAUAAAUAUAAUAGACGAGAAGACCCUAUUGAGUUUUAUCUUUAUAGUAUUAUUGUUUAGUUUAAUUAAUUUUAUAUGAUUUGGUUGGGGCAACUGGGGAGGAUAAAAUUCUCUCUUUUUUUAUUUAGAUCCAGUCUUACUGAUUAAAAGAAUAAAUUACCAUAGGGAUAACAGCGUUAUCUUUUUAGAGAGUUCUUAUCGAUAAAAAGGUUUGCGACCUCGAUGUUGGACUAAAAUUUCCUAAAAAUGCAGAAGUUUUUAAUGGUAACUCUGUUCGACUUUUAAAAUUUU
rnacentral:rRNA from 1 species